rnacentral:rRNA from 1 species
UGGUGGAGUGAUUUUGUCUGCUUAAUUGCGAUAACGAACGAGAUGUCUGCCAAUAAAUAGAUGCCUCUUCUGUUUGUACACUAAGGCCCCUAAAUAGCUUGCUAUUGGGGAGAACUAAAGUGGAGGAGGAGGAUUUUUACUUAUUGGGAUUAUGCAAACUUCCAAAUGCAUUGAGACGAGAGCCAAUAGCA